rnacentral:lncRNA from 1 species
CCUGACCAUUCUAUAUAGACCUCGAAGAAAAUGAGCUCGUUCACGAGGAUGGACACGAGCAAGGUUUUGCGUAAAGAGAUUUCAUCUAUAAAUCAGGCGAUAGGUGAAACGUCCAAGCUGCAUCUGAAUGCCAAAUCGUAAACAUUUGAUCUCAGUCAGUUUCAUCAGAAUAUGCAUUCUGAUCUUCUUGAGGGAUGACAGUGACCCAACACACCUCCAGACUGUGUAAGGGCUAUUUGACCAAGGAGAGUGAUGGAGUGCUGCAUCAGAUGACCUGGCCUCCACAAUCACCCGACCUCAACCCAAUUGAGAUGGUUUAGGAUAAGUUGGAAAGCAGCCAACAAGUGCUCAACAUAUGUGGGAACUCCUUCAAGACUGUUGGAAAAGCAUUCCAGGUGAAGCUGGUUGAGAGAAUGCCAAGAGGGUGCAAAGCUGUUAUCAAGGCAAAGGGUGGCUAAUUUGAAGAUUCUCAAAUAUAAGAUAUAUUUUGAUAUGUUUAACACUUGUUUGGUUACUAAAUGG